rnacentral:rRNA from 1 species
GACGUAGGGCGCGAGCGUUGUCCGGAUUUAUUGGGCGUAAAGAGCUCGUAGGCGGCUUGUCACGUCGACUGUGAAAACCCGCGGCUCAACUGCGGGCCUGCAUUCGAUACGGGCAGGCUAGAGUGUGGUAGGGGAGAUCGGAAUUCCUGGUGUAGCGGUGAAAUGCGCAGAUAUCAGGAAGAACACCCGUGGCGAAGGCAGCUCGCUGGGACGGUACUGACGCUGAGACGCGAAAGCGUGGGGAGCAAACAGG